rfam:Nomascus leucogenys chromosome 8, whole genome shotgun sequence.
CCUUCGAGAGCUCAGCUGGUAGAGCGGAGGACUGUAGGGGUUUGAAUAUAGUCAUCCUUAGGUCGCUGGUUCGAAUCCGGCUCGGAGGA